AUUGAACGCUGGCGGCAUGCUUUACACAUGCAAGUCGAACGGUAACAGGUUAAGCUGACGAGUGGCGAACGGGUGAGUAAUGCAUCGGAACGUGCCCGGUCGUGGGGGAUAACGCAGCGAAAGCUGCGCUAAUACCGCAUACGAUCUGAGGAUGAAAGCGGGGGACCGUAAGGCCUCGCGCGAUCGGAGCGGCCGAUGUCGGAUUAGGUAGUUGGUGGGGUAAAGGCUCACCAAGCCGACGAUCUGUAGCUGGUCUGAGAGGACGACCAGCCACACUGGGACUGAGACACGGCCCAGACUCCUACGGGAGGCAGCAGUGGGGAAUUUUGGACAAUGGGCGCAAGCCUGAUCCAGCAAUGCCGCGUGCAGGAAGAAGGCCUUCGGGUAGUAAACUGCUUCUGUACGGAGCGAAAAGGCUCUCUCUAAUACAGGGGGCUCAUGACGGUACCGUAAGAAUAAGCACCGGCUAACUACGUGCCAGCCGCCGCGGUAA
rnacentral:rRNA from 1 species